GCUUUCGUGGUGUAGUGGUCUGCACGCCAGGUUGUGGCCCUGGAAGUGUCGGUUCGAUCCCGAUCGAAGGCC
rnacentral:tRNA from 1 species